rnacentral:rRNA from 1 species
AUGGCGUCCCCAGACGCAUCCUGCGGAGCCCUAACCGCCCACUCGCCGCCCCCCCCGAGGCGCCCCCCUUCUCCUCCCCACGAUCCGCUGCCUACGUAUAAGGGGAAUUCGCUGCAUGCCUUCCCAGAGGAGGAGCCAAAGCAACACCAAGUCGCAGUUUCACGCGCCGCUUCUAAGGGGAGAUAUGCGAGGUUUAAAGAGAAUUUGAAUGCCAAGCCACAGGAGACGAAGCAACACCACCAUCAAGUUGCUGUCUCAUGCGCCGCUUCAAAAGGGAGGAAUCGAGAUGGUUGGAUGUCCCAGGAGAGGAGCACUCCUGAAGGUAUCAACAUGGAGGAACAUGCUUUGAGGUUUCGGCCUCUGCCCCGACCCAAGACGCGUGGCUUUGACCGGGCUUCCAUCGGAAUUACACCUGUAAUGCAAAAGAGGAAACCUCCGGAGGUGAGGAACGCUCUCCGCGAAAGAAGAGUUGCGGCCAAACAAAAGGAUGCACGCUACCACGCGGAAGUGGCCCUACGUAAAUACAACAGAGCGAACAACACUAAGUUUGAGCUGGUGGAGGUAAAAGUGAUAUCUAUAUUUUACGAGUUUGGAGGGGCCGGAGCCCAUUAUAACUUCACAGCUAAGCAGCCUGAGGACCAGCAGAAUGCGGAUGCCGACAGUACCAAGCUUUUCUUCUCUGAAGUUGACCUCUAUUUUCGGAGCGAGAAUGAUGUGAUUAUGUGCUGUAUAGUUGGGGAAAAUGACGCAGGGCGUUGCUAUGGCUGUGAAAACUACCAGCCUGUUGUUCACCCAAGCAGCCAAGCAUACGGCGGCGGUAGUAGUACUUGUAUUGAGCAUCCUGGUUCGGACGGCGAUAGCGACAGCGACUAG